CGCCGCGCACCCGCCCGUUGCUAGGACGCCAGUGAAACGCCCGGCGCCCGCGCAGAGCGUCGCCGCCCCGCGGAGGAAAGCUCUGAGCCCGCCCUCCGCGCCGCAGCUGCCUGCCGUGCGUUCGCGCCCGGAGCCCGCCCAGACCACAGCCGCGUGCUCCCGGCGGCCCCGCGCGCCCGCCGCCCCGCCGCCGGCCCUGGUGGCGCCCGGCUUCGCGGGGUUUCACUAACGCCUGCAGCCGCCGCGUCCCCUCCCUGGGAAUAGUGUUAUUCGACCUCCUUCUGCCAGGAGGACUCUCCCUGAAUCACUCCACCAGGUGAGAACUUCCCACUGGAAGGGACCUGCAUUACGCCAUUGCGAUCACAGGACACUCCUGCUGCACCGUGACUUUCCUCAAAGCAAGAAUGGCAGUCUGCUGGAUAACCACCUUGCGUAUUUCUACCACCUGAAGAUCUCCAUGUGGAAAGUUCCAAGGUUAAUUUUCCUGAAGAACCUGUCCAGUGCUUUCAAGUUCAAUCGUGUCACUCCAGGGAAUGUGACAGCUGUGCAGAAAAACAGCCUUUGCUCAUGUUUCUGGCUCCAGUUAUAGCAACACAAGGCAGCACAGGGCAGCGAAAAGAGCAUGGUCGGAGGAAGGCGGACCCUGACCCUGAUUCCACGACUUAUCACCUGUCACCUUGGAAAAGGUACUUAAGCCCUGCCCCUCACUUUUCUCAGUUGUAAAAGAUGAAGAUAUUAUCUUUCAUGUUAAGGGAACUGUGAGGACUAAAUGAGAUAGUGAAUGGAAAUCAUACAGAUGUUUGAUGACUAGUAAGUACAAUUUGGCAGUUCCUGGGCUUGUGUGUAAGACAGCUGUUAGAAAAAAUAUUUCCUGCCCUCCAGGAGCUUAAGGGUAAGUGGGCAAACAUUUGGAAGGGAAGUGUGUUAGAAGAAAGGGCAUUAAUACAAUUAAGGGACAUUUCUUUCAAAUCGAUAUAAAUUACGUUGCAUACCAGCGGCUAAAAAUAAACAUUUGUUCACUACCCUACUGAGGAUUACUUGAUUAGGUCCUGAUGUAUCACUUGGAAGUAAUGGCUGUUUUCUAAAUAAUAAAACGGUCAUAGAAAUUAUGAGGAAACUUCCAGCUAAUUUGCUAAUGGAGCACUGUUUCUAUGGGGUGGUUAUUUAUAGAGGUAAAUUAAAACUGUGUGCUGUGAGAAUAAUCAUUAUAAAACAGGAGUUCACAGUUACUGAAUACUUCUAUCCCAAGUUUUGUUCCAAAUACUUUACAUGGAUCAGCUCUUUCAAGCCCACAACAAUCCUGUGAGGUGAGCAGUAUUAUCAUCUCCAUUUUUCUGAUCAGAAAAUGAGGACCAGAGAGGUUACACGACUGUCUCAAGGUUGCAAAGCUGGUCAUAGACAAAAACCAGAAUUUGAACUCAAGGAUUCUGGCUCUGGAGCCCAUGUUCCUGACAGCUCCACUGUACAGUCUUUCGUUGGAACCAGAGCUGGGAUUAGCUGGUUCAGCUGUUGAAGCAAGGACAAUACUAAUUAGCCUGUCUCUAUGAACAGGUGGCAGUUUGUCCUCAGGGACAGCUAAAUAAGAAGGUUUAGUUUUGCUCUACCUGUUCAGGAACAGGAUGUGGCUAAAGCUUGAAUUCCUGAUGGGGAGGGGUGGGGGAAGGGAUGUUCCCAUCACAGAUGGGCCCAGAUCACCCACCCUCGACCUCUUUAAAUGGCUGCACUGUAUGGGUAAGAGCAAGACUAGUGAAUUCCAUCUCUUCAACAGCCUUGUUGAAGCCAAUAAAUACUUGACUGAAACAAAUAUGAAGUUUAAUUUCAGACAUGGCAAGUUCAAACAAAACCUUGAUAUCAGAGUAGAAAAGAGAAUUUGUUCUACCAUGGGAAACAGUGUACCAAAUACCCAAGUACAAAAACAACUGUGCAGAAAGAAGACAAGUAACUUGAGGACACUUUAUUAAGAUCAAAGGUUUUCCAUUGCAUUCAUUUAUAAAUCUUUACUAGUUAAGACGAAAAUAAAUAAUAAAAAUCUAGAUCUUUGAGAAGCUUUGAAUAACAGUUUCUGUAAAUCUGCAAAGAUUACAUGUUUUGUCGAUUUUAUAUUACAAUUUAGAUACAUUCAAUCAUUAUACAAUACCAGGAAUGUCAGCCUUACAUAUAUUAAGAACAUUUAUAUGAGGAAGUAAAACAAGGGGGAAGAAUAUUUCAAUUUCACCUUUUUAUUUUUAACCGAUUUGAUAAUCAUGGGAGUACAGAAUUUCCUUCUUGAUCUUGGAUUUUAAAUAUAUGGACUUAAAAAUACGAACAUUCCUCUUCUCCACUGGUGGCUGACACUCUGUGCUAGGAGUCGGCUGC